ensembl:lncRNA
GUCUGAAAUAACAAGGAGCGAUUAGGCUGUCAGUAAAUUUCUCAAAACCACAAAAUACAAAAUGCUAACCGCUCUAUUAUACUGUUCUCACAGAACUUCCUCAGAGGAAAGUGUGUUCUGGAGUCAUCAGAGAAAGAGAGACUCAGUUCAACUGAGCUGUCAGACUCCUCCAUCUCUCCAUGUGUCUCACUGUUACUUCUAUAAAGAGGGGUAAUUUAAUCUGCCAGGCUCAUCCGGUACGCAGACACCCACAGGAACAGAGCUGAUCUUUUGGGCAGGUCAAGCAUUUCCAGCUGGGAUCAAAGUGACGUUUUACUACGCUUUAGACAUCAUAAAUCUCAACCACAAAUGCAGUUGUCAAAAACAUGAAACCAAAAAGUCAAGGACACAUUUUUUACUCAGACAAGUUAGUUUGUUGGUUUAGAAAAUGUAAUUGAAGCUAUCAAAUUAUGCAGAAUAUCUGCUGUUAAAGACAAAUAGCUACAGACAACAAAUAUAAUGACUUAUGAAUUAUUCUGAACGUUCCUCUGCAACACAAGCCACACUUUCCGUAUGAGACUGGUUUCUGCUAUCUGUGGUUUUCCUGUGAACAAACUCCACAUCUACUUCUCUAUUCAAACAAUCCUCGCUGACACAGUCACCAUCUUCUGUGAAGUCAGACUAGCAGUCUGUAGAUGUCUGAUAAAUGGCGUUGUUCAUCCCUGAUAUGGCUGGUCAUCUGUUUCUGGUCAUCCUCCUUUUCGAUCCAAAACCAGACAUUACAAUCAAAUUUGAUGAGGACUUCAACAUCAUCUGUUUGAUUCCUGGAUCAGUCAGUCCUGACACCACCUGUAACCUGUAUGUUGGAGAGGAGAGUCAGCCAUCCUUCACAGCAAAGAUCAAGAAGAGAAAAGCCACCUCAGCAUCCGGACAACAGUUCUGUCAUUUCAUUGCAAAAUAUAGUGAUCUGAUCAGUCGUCUUCAGUCAUUGAGGAGUAAGGAGGUGAGCUGUGACUACAGAGUGAGCUCAGGACCAAACUCUCUCUCCUCACGCAGUGAUGGGCACAGCUUUACAGAAACCGUACUUGUCAAUAUGAUUCCUCAUUCUACUGGAUCAACCGCUCCACUCAUCCCAACCUCUGAGAUCUCUACAGGAAACACCACUGACCCCACACGGACUCCAAUGGGGAAAGAGCCACUUGAUUUCCUGUGGCGUCACAUCCUCACUGUGUUGGUCCUACUGGCUACUUGUGGAGUAAUUAUACACUAUUUCAUCUCCCAUCAAUGUCCAAAAGCUGUUCCAAAGAGAAGCAGGAGGGUGGACCAGAGCAAUGAAGACUUUUCGUUGACAGUGUGCUAAAUCACUGUGCAUACCUACAAACAUACAGGCACGCACGCACACACGCGCCACACACAAUUAUAUUUUUACAUUUAAAAAAAAAAACUUUUACGCUUUAUGCAUCUUUGAGAUUUGUCAUUUUUCUUUUGAAAUUGAGGGCAUGAUAGCGUUGCUAGGCAAGUUGAAAACUUAAUGUACAUAGUGUACAUACAUACAUUGACUGUACAAAACAUUAAGAACACCCUCCCCCCAGUAUGAAGUAAGUUACUAACUAGUGUUAGGGGCAUGGACUCUACAAGGUGUUGAAAGCGUUCCACAGGGAUGCUGACUCCAAGGUUUCCCACAGUUGUUUCAAGUUGGAUGGAUUUCCUUUGGGUCGUGGACCAUUUUUAUACACACAGGAAACUGUUGAGAGUGAAAAACCCAGCAGCGCUGCAGUUCUUGACACAAACAGGUGUGCCUGUCACCUACUACCAUACUCCGCUCAAAGGCAAGUAAAUGUUCUGUCUUUCCCAAUCAAUGUCUCAAUUGUCUCAAGGCUUAAAAAUCCUCUCCUCCCCUUCAUCCAUAAUGCUAGAAGUGGAUUUAACAAGUGACAUCAAUAAGGGAUCAUAGCUUUCACCUGAAUUCACCUGGUCAUUCUAUGUCAUGGCUAGAGUAGGUGUUCAUAAUGUUUUGUUUUGUACACUCUGUGUAUAUACAGACACAAACACGUUCGGAUGACUGACGUGCACAAAGUAAACUGCCGGUUACUUAGAGCCAGAAGCUAGGAAAUGCAUAUAUUGGUAGAAAACACUGACGUUUCUAAAACUGUUAAAAUGAUGUCUGUGAGUAUAACAGAACUGAUAUGGCAGAUUUUUUUUUGAGGUCACAGGCCAUUUCAAUGCUAGCCUAUGGGAUACACAAAUAGAUAGGACCCAGAUGGCAAUUCCUAUGGCUUCCAAUAGAUGUCAACAGUCUUUAGAAAUGGUUUCAGGCUUGUUUUUUGAAAAAUGAGCAAGUGGUUGUACUUUUUCCAAGAUGUCUUGUUGGCACGUGAAUGGGGUGCGCGCUCUUCGUUUUUUAUCUUCCCUAUUGAACAUACAAUUCUCUGUCUUAAAUAUUACAGUUUAUUCAUCAGACCAGAGGACAUUUCUCCAAAAAGUAUGAUCUUUGUCCCCAUGUGCAGUUGCAAAACGUAGUCUGGCUUUUUUCAUGGCGGAUUUUGAGCAGUGGCUUCUUCCUUGCUGAGCGUCCUUUCAGGUUAUGUCGAUAUAUGACUCGUUUUACUGUGGAUACAGGUAGUUUUGUACCCAUUUCCACCAGCAUCUUCACAAGGUCCUUUGCUGUUGUUCUGGAAGUGAUUUGCACUUUUCUCACCAAAGUACGUUCAUCUCUAGGAGACAAAACGCAUCUCCUUCCUGAGAGGUAUGACGGCUGCGUGGUCCUAUGGUGUUUAUACUUGCAUACUACUGUUUGUACCGAUGAACGUGGUACCUUCUGGGGUUUGGAAAUUUCUCCCAGGGAUGAACCAGACUUUUGGAGAUGUGCAAUUUAUUUUCUGAGUUCUUGGCUGAUUUCUUUGAUUUUCCCAUGAUGUCAAGCAAAGAGGCACUGAGAUUGAAGGUAGGCCUUGAAAUACAUCCACAGGUACACCUCCAAUUGACUCAAAUUAUGUCAAUUAGCCUAAUCAGAAGCUUCUAAAGCCAUGACAUCAUUUUCUGGAAUUUUCCAAGCUGUUUAAAGGCACAGUCAACUUAGUGGAGGUAAACUUCUGACACAGUGAAUUAUAAGUGAAAUAAUCUGUCUGUAAACAAUUGUUGAAAAAAUUACUUGUGUCAUGCAAAGUAGAUUCCUAACUGACUAGCCAAAACUAUAGUUAGUUAACAAGAAAUUUGUGGUGUGGUUGAAAAGAGUUUUAAUGAUUCCAACCUAAGUGCAUGUAAACUUCCGACUUCAACUGUGCAUUUAGACCUGUUGUGACAAAUAUUGUGUUAUUUUAUGGCUGGUUGUGACAACUUCAUAAGUGUGUCAAAACCCACAACACCUCCCACACAAGGCAAAACAAUCCAUGUCACCUGUCAACAGUAUGUUCAUGUUAUAUUUAUUUCUUAAUGACCAUUUUACAUUUUCACUGUAAUUGCGUACACAUUGAUGUCAGACAUGCACCUAACACAGUGCUCUAUUGCUUGUGACUGGGAUGAAUGCAAGAGUAGACUUCAGGAGCAGGACUGAUAUAAGGGUAUGUAUGUGACAGGCCUGUGUGGUUUAUAUGAUUAUGAUGGUCAACAUCCUUCUUGACAGUGUCAUAAAGUAUAUUUUCUUAGUCCAGGUGACACAAGAUGGUUAUAAUGCGUCAUGACAGUUUCAUAAAGUAUAUUUUCCGUUUAAAAACGUGACUGUAAAGAAUUCAUUACAACAACAAAUGAUUUAAGACAAACUUUCAAAUGAAAGGAAACUUCUUGGCAGGAAAAAAAAUCUUUUGAAAACAUGUGGGUUUUCACACUCUUAUGGUGUCAUAACAUAAUGCAAUAUAUGUGUCAACAGGUGUAAAUUUAUGGGUCAUGACAGUGUAAAGACCAUGUUAUGACAAAUUAUGUCAGCUGUUAUGACAUAUUAUGACAUGGUUAUGACCGGGUCAUAAUGUGUUAUGAUACAGGGUGUCAAGUUAAGUGUUACUCUAAAGGGUUUUCACAUUAAAUUUAUCUUUGGUGAGUCAUGUUCAAUAAUGCAGAUAAGCAAUAAUGCAGGUAACACCCUGUUGUGUGUGUGUGUGUGUGUGUCUGUAUGUGCAUGUGUGCAUCUGUUUGUAGGUAUGGAUACGUGACAUCAUACAUUUACUGGUUUUUCUUUGCCCUCCUCACAGUAGAACUGACCACAAUACAGAGAAUCUGGAUGCAAAGGCAAAAUUAUCAAUGUCCUUGACUACCUGUAGUCCAUAACACCAAUUGUUGGUUUCCCAGACACAGAUUAAGCCUACCACUGGUGUAAAAUAUGUAAAUUGUCCAUUGAACAUGCUUUUUAGUCCAGGAGUAGUGUCACGCCCUGACUUAGAGCUUUUUAUGUCUCUAUUUUGGUUUGGUCAGGAUGUGAUUUGGGUGGGCAUUCUAUCUUCUUUUUUUUUGUAUUUCUUUGUUUUGGCCGGGUAUGGUUCUCAAUCAGGGACAGCUGUCUAUCGUUGUCUCUGAUUGGGAACCAUACUUAGGUAGCUUUUCCCCACAGGGUUUUUGUGUGUGGUUAAUUUCUGUUUAGUACCUUUCAGGACUGUUUCAGUUAUUCCCUUUGUUAUAGUGUUCAGUUUUAAUAAUAAAAGCAUGAACACUUACCACGCUGCGCUUUGGUCCGAUGAUUCCUCUUCUUCAGACGGCAAAUACUGUUACAACUAGGCAUAAACUGUCUCUGGGAAACUGACCAGAAGAGGUUCUGUUAAGAUGACAAGCCGUUAUAUGGACUGAAAUAGAUAUUUUGGAAAAAUAGCACCUUGAACUUCACCAAUGGCCUGAAAAAGGUGACAUAGAUAACAGUACAUCAUUUUUGCAUUAUCUUGAAUAUGUCACGUUCGUCGUAAAGAUGAGACCAAGGCGCAGCGUGAGUAGAAUUCCACAUAUUUUAAUCAACUGAAACUCAC